rnacentral:rRNA from 1 species
GAUGAACGCUGGCGGCGUGCCUAAUACAUGCAAGUCGAGCGAACAGACGAGGAGCUUGCUCCUCUGACGUUAGCGGCGGACGGGUGAGUAACACGUGGAUAACCUACCUAUAAGACUGGGAUAACUUCGGGAAACCGGAGCUAAUACCGGAUAAUAUAUUGAACCGCAUGGUUCAAUAGUGAAAGACGGUUUUGCUGUCACUUAUAGAUGGAUCCGCGCCGCAUUAGCUAGUUGGUAAGGUAACAGCUUACCAAGGCAACGAUGCGUAGCCGACCUGAGAGGGUGAUCGGCCACACUGGAACUGAGACACGGUCCAGACUCCUACGGGAGGCAGCAGUAGGGAAUCUUCCGCAAUGGGCGAAAGCAUGACGGAGCAACGCCGCGUGAGUGAUGAAGGUCUUCGGAUCGUAAAACUCUGUUAUUAGGGAAGAACAAAUGUGUAAGUAACUAUGCACGUCUUGACGGUACCUAAUCAGAAAGCCACGGCUAACUACGUG